CCGCCUUUAGCUCAGGAGCAGAGCGCUUGCCCGAUAAGCGAGUGGUCGAAGGUGCAACUCCUUCAAGGCGGA
rnacentral:tRNA from 1 species